CGGGAUGUAGCUCAGUUGGUAGAGCGCACGGUUCGGGACCGUGAGGUCGUGAGUUCAAAUCUCGCCAUCCCGA
rnacentral:tRNA from 1 species